rnacentral:rRNA from 1 species
UACGGGGGGGGGCAAGCGUUGUUCGGAAUUACUGGGCGUAAAGGGCUCGUAGGCGGCCAACUAAGUCAGACGUGAAAUCCCUCGGCUUAACCGGGGAACUGCGUCUGAUACUGGAUGGCUUGAAUUCGGGAGAGGGAUGCGGAAUUCCAGGUGUAGCGGUGAAAUGCGUAGAUAUCUGGAGGAACACCGGUGGCGAAGGCGGCAUCCUGGACCGACAUUGACGCUGAGGAGCGAAAGCCAGGGGGAGCAAACGGG